AAGUCGUAACAAGGUUUCCGUAGGUGAACCUGCGGAAGGAUCAUUAACACGUUAUCCACGUAUCACCAAGACAAAUGUUAUGUGCUACCGGAGGGGCAAACUGAACAUGUGCAUGCUUUAGCUAAGGAAAGGGCUUGACAGGUGAGAGCAAUCUCGCUGAUCGCUCGGCUAGAUGUGCCACUCUUGCUGACGGGCUUGCUUUUUGGCGGCUCCGAUGGCGGGUACUGUUGUAUUUGUUCUGUAAGGCAACUUCUGAUGGGGAGAGCGGUUCCUUGUAAACUCUCUGUCAGGAACAUUCUUUACUAUUUUCACCAAUUUUUGCUAGUUGACUUUUAUAUGUUGUUCUUUGUCUCGGCAAGGUUCACACGUUUAAUUAUUUGAACGUUAAAAAUACAACUCUUAGCAAUGGAUAUCUAGGUUCUC
rnacentral:misc_RNA from 1 species